GGCCGCUACGAACGCCACGAACUUCUCGCAGCGGGGUUAGACAAAUUUAGGUAUGGGUUGGAACGAAAUGGAGAAAUUUAGGUUAUGAAAGGCCGGGUACCAUGUUCUUUUGUGUCAUUUAUUUUUCGUCCUGAACCUGUAAUGAAACAAAAUUAGAUAUUGACGGUAUCGAAAGUGUUGUAGAAUACAUUAUAUAGCUCAAUAAAUUGUUGUACAGUAUCAUCAUGGGGAAAACUGCAGUUCAGUCCAAAAUAUGUAUUAAAUUUAUCUCGGGAAAAUUGUCUGCUGUGCAGAGAGGAGAGAAAUCGCUUAAUUUAUCGGAUUUUUCACAAAUUUGAAGUGAACCGAAGUAAUUCAGGUGUUACGUUGGAUUAUUACCAAAGAAAAGUCAACAAGAUCGUGAUGUAUCGCAAAGGGCAUUUAAGAUUUGGUAUAUAAUAUUUGAGUACUUGCAAUUGUUUGUUUGUGUGUGAAAAAUGUUAUUGAGGAUAUAUAAAGGCAUUUCGCAUAUUGUAAGCUCUAUGUGUGCCACCGUUAACACAACCAUUUAAAUAACAGUCCGCUAGAAUUUAUAAAUCACAAUAAUUCCGAAAAUCUAUGAUAUACGUAUUCAUACAUAUUUGAUAUUCCGUGGAUUGUAGUUAGUGAAAAGGGGUCGUAGGAUGUGUAAAAGUCAAAAACGCAAUACAAAACACCAGAAGCCUUCGCAGAUAAGAUGAAUAUAUAUAACUUUCAUGUAACGCAUGUAAGGUAUUCAUAUGAAGUGUAACGCAAAUGGUCAAUUUCAUGCCCAAUUUGUCUUUUCAUUGUUACUACGGAAGUGCCCCUUUCGUUCCUGACACCAUGUGGUAGGGAUCUGAAGGUUAAUUUUUACAAUUCUUUCCUUCAUGGUUUACAUGGAUAAUACGUAUUUUACUUCAUAGCAUUCUCGUGAAUGGUCUUCUAUGACUAUACCAUUCAGCAGUUAAUUGUUAUCCAUUCUCUUCAGAUUGUGGCAGUUUGUUUUAUCUGGUAAGGGAAAGGUGGACUUGUCUCUGGAGACAAAGAAGGCCAAAUCCCAGCCGUCGUCAGGAAAGGUGAUGUUGAGCGUGCUCUGGGAUCAGCGGGAUGUCAUCAUGACCAACUACACGCAAAAGGACGUCACCAUCACUGAUGAGUACUACCUGAAACUUCUGAGAAAAUUACAGGAGGAAAUCAAGAAAAAGCGACGUGAAAUGCUGGGAAAUGGUGUGCGACUUCUUCAAAACAAUGCACCACUCAUGCUGCUCAUGCUACAAUGACACUUGCUGUCAGUUUGGUAUAUGAAAUUCUCCCCCAUCCACCAUAUUCACCAGAACUGGCACCAAGUGACUUCUUCCUCUUUCCACGGCUAAAGAAGCCACUUCAUGGUAAGUGAGUCCAAGAGGAUGAUGACAUCAUUUCUGCAGUGGAGGAAUUCCUAAACAGUCAAAAUGAGACCUUCUAUGAUCAAGGUAUCCAACAGCUAAUGCAUCGUUUAGGAAAACGUGUGGCCUUGCAGGGGGCAUGUGUAGAGAAGGGCUAACUCACAUACAAUUUCUUGCACCUGUGUCUCUGUUCUUCUGGGUGAUAAUUAAAAUUUUAUGAUUCCCCACAUAUUGAGUCAGCUCCAGCCAUCUUCCAUCACAAUUGAUAUCCAUAAAUUCAAUCUUUAGUGUAUUUUUUUUCCUCUUGACAAAAUAUUAACUUGUUAAAAACUGAUUUGCAGUUUUCCAAGUGAGUUACGUUCAUGUGUCUGCUGUAAGACUUGAUUUAUAGGCUCACAUGCUGUUGUCUUAAACUUCACAUACAUACACAGUAAGCUUUUAUGGAACAGUGGUAUCAUUUGUAUAAUGACUGAUGAAAAUACAACAAAAAGUCUCACAUGUAAAACAGACUUGUUAUUAUAUUCUAAAGGGUUCUGACGAUGGUGCAUAACUCAGAAUUACUGGGUUUUGAGGCUUUGUCCAUUGUCCAGUAUUGUAGAACAGAUCCAGUUUCCAAAAUGCUGUUCUCAUAUUUUUAGAUUACUGGAUGAUGUACAAAGUCCAAAAACUGAGUAAUUAAUUAUGAAUUAUUAAUUAAUUAAUUAAUGAUUAAUUAAUUAAUUUCUGGAUGAAAGCAUAAUUUCUUUG